rnacentral:rRNA from 1 species
UACAGAGGGGCGAAGCGUUGUUCGGAAUUACUGGGCGUAAAGGGCGCGUAGGCGGCCUUCUAAGUCGAACGUGAAAUCCCCGGGCUCAACCCGGGAACUGCGUCCGAUACUGGAAGGCUUGAAUCCGGGAGAGGGAUGCGGAAUUCCAGGUGUAGCGGUGAAAUGCGUAGAUAUCUGGAAGGAACACCGGUGGCGAAGGCGGCAUCCUGGACCGGUAUUGACGCUGAGGCGCGAAAGCGUGGGGAGCGAACAGG